GGAAAACUGAGGAAGAGAAGAGAGGAGGAAAACUUGAGGAAUCAGAGACCGAGGACAGACGAGAAAGGGAUGAGAAAUAGAGCACUGAGGGAGAGACUGAGUGAGGAAGGGGAGGACCGAACACACUACCUGAACACAGCACUCAUGUGAAAAGAAGGGAGAUGAGAGUGAACGAGGAGGAGACUGCAAACAGUGAGAAGAGAAACUAGAAAAAUAAAUGAGAGAGAGACCUAGAGACGCAGAAGAGAAAAGAGAACGCGAGAAAAAGAAAGGAGAUCGAGAAUCUGAGAGAAGGAGGAGACUUAAAAAAUAAAGCGAGAGCAAGAAAGGAGAUCGAGAAUGGAUGAGUAGUAGCAGCUGGAAGAGGGACUGAAAAAAGGGAGAGGAUAGUUCAGCUCAAGAGACACAGUCUCUGAUGGUGAACAAGAAGGGAAUGGUGAUUUCGCCAAUGAUGGAACUGAUUCUAGGUUCACUAUGAUGAGGAUUAUUGGCUUCAUUCCUUAUUUAAUUGGCUGCUCAUGAAACAGAAGGAAAGAAAAGGAAAAAGAAGCUUAGGCAUGGAGAAGAAGAGGAGGUCUGCUAAGGUAAUGAAAUUAGGAGCAAGGAUGACGUUUCCAACUUGUUACUUAUCAAAUUGAGCAAGAAGGCACAGGAGUUAGUAGCAUAUCCCGCCAUGUUCUUUUCAUAGAAGGCCGAACCAAUAAAGAAGGUAACAUUACAGAUAAGCAUGUUCAGGAGAUAGCUAAUAAAUGUGCUGUUAUCUCAAAUGAAGUCUCAAAGGGUGAGCGUUCGGAGGAUGAAGAUAUCUUGGGUCAGGCAUUGGGUAAACCUGACCACCCCAGACGUGUUAGGGGUGUUGGUUUUGGCGUCACCAAGAAGCAAGUAUUUGGGACUAC